rnacentral:rRNA from 1 species
GUAGUAACAUAGAGCUAAUACAUGCAAAUACUUCUGACCGCAAGGAAAGAAGGCACUUAUUAGAUUACAAACCAAUCCAUGUAAAAGUGGUAUAAGGUGAUUCAUAGUAAGGUUGGAAAUCGUAUGGAGGCAACUCUGACGAUAUAUCAUUCAAAUUUCUGCCCUAUCAACUUUGGAUGGUAGUAUAGAGGACUACCAUGGUGAUAACGGGUAACGGAGAAUUAGGGUUCGAUUCCGGAGAGGGAGCCUGAGAAAUGGCUACCACUUCUAAGGAGGGCAGCAGGCGCGCAAAUUACCCCAAUCCUAAUACUGGGAGGUAGUGACAAUAAAUAACAAUGCUGAAGUUUAUACUUUGGUAAUUGGAAUGAGAACAAUUUAAACCCCUUAACGAGUAACCAUCAGAGGGCAAGUCUGGUGCCAGCAGCCGCGGUAAUUCCAGCUCUGAUAGCGUAUAUUAAAGUUGUUGCAGUUAAAAAGCUCGUAGUUGGAUUUUAGAGUGUAUUAUAUGGUCUCUUGUGUAUAAACUUGUUGUU